rnacentral:rRNA from 1 species
UACAGAGGUCCCAAGCGUUGUUCGGAUUCACUGGGCGUAAAGGGUGCGUAGGCGGUCGGGUAAGUCUGAUGUGAAAUCUCACAGCUUAACUGUGAAACUGCGUUGGAUACUAUCCGGCUCGAGGAAUGGAGGGGAGACUGGAAUACUUGGUGUAGCAGUGAAAUGCGUAGAUAUCAAGUGGAACACCAGUGGCGAAGGCGAGUCUCUGGACAUUUCCUGACGCUGAGGCACGAAAGCCAGGGGAGCAAACGGG